CACCGCGGUUAUACGAGAGGCCCAAGUUGACAGACGCCGGCGUAAAGAGUGGUUAAUACUUAUUAAACUAAAGCCAAACACCUUCAAGACUGUUAUACGUUAACCGAGGGCAGGAAGAUCUCUAACGAAAGUAGCUUUAACCAAAAUGACCCCACGAAAGCUAGGAUA
rnacentral:rRNA from 1 species